rnacentral:lncRNA from 1 species
UAUACACACUAUAUAUAAAAGCGUAUGAGAAUUCCGACAAUGACAGACGGAAUACAAAAAGGAAUAAACGAAUAUUCAUUACGAACAAUUAUAAUCAGUUUGUUAAAAAUAUCUUAAAUAAAAAUAAAUGGUUAUGAUUAAUCUGUUAAACAAUAACAUUCUUAUCUAUCAAUAUGUCAAAUCCUAUGAAUGGUUAUGAUUAAUUUGUUAAAAUAUAUUUCAAAUAAAAAUUAUUGGUUGUGAUUAAUCUGUUAAAAGAAAGUAUUCCUAUCGAUAGAUUUUAUAUUAAAUUAAAAAUAUGAGUUUAAAUCAUGAAUUUGGAUAUCAAAUUUGUAUUAACAAUUAAAAAAUUUUAAUUACAGUGGAUCAAAAUUAAAUUUUUUAAAAAAUUAAAUUUAUAAAUUUUGGAUAUCAAAUUUGAAUUAACAAUUAAAAUAUUUAAUUACAGUGAACUAAAAUUAAAUUUCAAAGUAAAUGUGAAUUAAAUUUUUACGCUUUUAGUUUAAAUAAUAAAUAGAAAUAUUAAAUUUAUCAUAAUUCAAAAAAUGUAUAAAAAUAUGCAAUGUAUAUAUUGAAAAAAUUAUCUAAUAAAAUAUAACAUAUUCAUUUAUAAAACAUAAUUUUUAUUGUAAAUUUUUUAAUAAAUAUGAUGUAAAAUUUUAAAUUUAAAAUAAAUUAAAAUAAUUUUUAUGUGCAUUUGAUAUAUAUAUAUAUAUAUAUAGAGAGAGA